rnacentral:rRNA from 1 species
CCCGACCGCUAUCGGGGUAGGGCUAAGCCAUGCGAGUCGCGCGCCCGGGGGCGCCCGGGAGCGGCGCACGGCUCAGUAACACGCGCCCAACCUACCCUCGGGAGGGGGACACCCCCGGGAAACUGGGGCCAGUCCCCCAUAGGGGAAGGGCGCUGGAAGGCCCCCUCCCCGAAAGGACGGCGGCCGAUCCGCCGCCGCCCGCCCGAGGAUGGGGGCACGGCCCAUCAGGUAGUUGGCGGGUUAAAGGCCCGCCAAGCCGAAGACGGGUAGGGGCGGUGAGAGCCGCGAGCCCCGAGAUCGGCACUGAGACAAGGGCCGAGGCCCUACGGGGUGCAGCAGGCGCGAAUACUCCGCAAUGCGGGCAACCGCGACGGGGCUACCCCGAGUGCCGGGCGAAGAGCCCGGCUUUUGCCCGGUCUAAAACGCCGGGAGAAUAAGCGGGGGGCAAGUCUGGUGUCAGCCGCCGCGGUAAUACCAGCUCCGCGAGUGGUCGGGGUGUUUACUGGGCUUAAAGCGCCCGUAGCCGGCCCGGCAAGUCGCUCCUGAAAUCCCAGGGCUCAACCCUGGGGCAGGGGGCGAUACUGCCGGGCUAGGGGGCGGAAGAGGCCGCCGGUACUCCGGGGGUAGGGGCGAAAUCCGUUAAUCCCCGGAGGACCACCAGUGGCGAAAGCGGGCGGCCAGAACGCGCCCGACGGUGAGGGGCGAAAGCCGGGGGAGCAAAGGGGAUUAGAUACCCCUGUAGUCCCGGCCGUAAACGAUGCGGGCUAGCUGUCGGCUGGGCUUAGGGCCCGGCCGGUGGCGAAGGGAAACCGUUAACCCCGCCGCCUGGGGAGUACGGCCGCAAGG